GAAGAGUUCAUCUGUGUGUCUGCUGCUCGGUGUGUCUGUGCUGCUGCUGUCUGGUUCCACUGAUUCAGCAGUCUCUCUGAGUGUCAGUCCAGACCUUCAGCAGUUCUUCAA